UACGUAGGGGGCUAGCGUUGUCCGGAAUCAUUGGGCGUAAAGAGCGUGUAGGCGGUCCGGUAAGUCCGUUGUGAAAGUCAGGGGCUCAACCCUUGAAUGCCGGCGGAUACUGUCGGGCUAGAGUCCGGAAGAGGCAAGUGGAAUUCCCGGUGUAGCGGUGAAAUGCGCAGAUAUCGGGAGGAACACCUGUGGCGAAGGCAGCUUGCUGGGACGGUACUGACGCUGAGACGCGAAAGCGUGGGGAGCAAACAGG
rnacentral:rRNA from 1 species